ACCCUUAGAUGUUCUGGGCUGCACGCGCGCUACACUGACACGUUCAACAAGUGAUUUUCCUUGCUCGAAAGAGUUGGGUAACCUUUUUAAAUCGUGUCGUGAUGGGGAUAGAUCAUUGCAAUUAUUGAUCUUCAACGAGGAAUUCCUAGUAAGUGCAAGUCAUCAGCUUGCGCUGAUUACGUCCCUGCCCUUUGUACACACCGCCCGUCGCUCCUACCGAUUGGAUGAUCCGGUGAGUUGUUUGGAUGAUAACUUGAUCACUUUGUGUUUCUUGUAGUCAAAAGCUCAACAAACCUUAUCAUCUAGAGGAAGGAGAAGUCGUAACA
rnacentral:rRNA from 1 species